UCUUUUUCUGUCAUAUUGUAAUUGGCUAACCGUGUGCCAACAGCUUACAUACUUAUGGACUGACGCCUACAAACUCUUGAGAAAAAUAAGGCAGUACUAUCUGAGCAGCCUUCACCAUCUCUCCAUCCGCUAGAGUUCUCCAAACCACACGCUGUCUAUGGAACUGAGCUUCUUCACAAGAAUGAUGAUGGCUAACUUUCGCUUUUGGCAUGGCUAGUCUAAUAGAGCCGGGUGUUGGACGAGUAGGAGUCUCUGUCCUCGGUGUCAUUUGGUACGAAUAUAUAACCUCAAAGACAGGAUAUAAUGAUGAACAGUAAGCGGGUGCAGAGUUUCAUGGAUCCUCUACCUCAAGGCAAGAGAGCAAGACUAGAGGGUACCAUGGGUACUGUGGGGACUUCAGGGCUUUCCAAAACCAACAGCCUGCCUCAGUACUCCCAAGACAAGUCUAUACCCUACAGACACACCUAUAUGUCUUGCUCUCUCAGUGGACAAGAGACUUUAGAUCUUCCCUCACCAUGGAGUCCCUCUAGGAUUUUUGUGAGAAAUGGAGGGAGCCCUGUGGUUCAUGCUAGAGCCACAGAGGGGUCAAUUACAAAUCCAGUCAUUUACAGGCCUGAAAAUGUGAAUUUCCCUGAGGACAAUGGCUCCCCCACUGUAGCAGAAGAAGUGGUAGUGAAGCAGAAGCUUGCCUACUGUUCUAGAAGUCCAAGUAAGCACAGCCCUAGUACUGCGAGAAUAAUGUCCCCUGUCCCUUUCAGGAAAAUCCCUAUAGGUUGCACAAGCUUAUCGCCCUCAACAGCAGAAAAAUCUGGUGGACUUGCUAUUCCAAAACCAGUGUAUGGACAUAGUCCUUGCUGUGCUGGCCAAAAGUGCACAGUAGGUCACAGCUAUACUAUGGACCAAGGGCUGCAACGGAUGCCCCCACAAAUGUUUGAGGAUGAUCGGAUGACAUAUUAUGGUCACUGGGCAUGCAUGCAUAAAAAGGAGUCAGAAACCUUGUUGCAGCAGAGAUUAUUGCCGUUUGAGCACUGUGGAGAGAGGAUACCAUUGAAAGACGUAACCACAGAAGGCUACCAUGGCCUUAGCCCAAGCAAACCUCAGCGGGUUUCUGCUUUUUCUGAUCCACGCCAGAGCAGCUAUAUGUAUAACCAUGUCCACCCAUUUGUCCCCUCUUCACCAGAUCGCUGCCAACGUUUUCAGAUGCCCAAACAGGUACAUAAGGAUCUGGUUCCUAUAUAUGAGCCAGUACCUGGGAUGCAAUAUGGAACACACAUGCAGAUUUAUCAAGACUGUCCUCACACAUCUAAGUAUAGAGAUAUACCUCAGCAUUCCUUGCUUUAUUGUCCAAAGAAUAACAUUGAUGUUUACAGACCUGAGAAUUUUCAGCAAACAUCUGGGCACCGCCCUAUUCUUCAGCCAUUUUUUAGGGAUUUCAAGAAUUCCUACACUGUUGUCCCUCCUGGCCACCCAGUUGUUAGGAACGUACCUGUCUAUCCUGCUUAUAGAACACACUUAAAUGCUAGACACAUGAAUCCGUUCACUAAGAGACCAUUUUGUCCUCCUGUCAUGCAGCAGGUAGAACAACCCCUGGACUUUUCCAUGCGGCGAGAGCAGAAUGCAGACUCCAACCAGGAACAACCUCCUCAAGGACAGCUUGGAAUUAAAGGGACUUUUUAUCAAACUGAGCCCCAAGCCCACUAUAUGGUUUCAAAUAAUUUACAUCUUGAAAAUUCAUCCCUGGACAGUCCAUGUCAGGGAGAAGAUAAUUGUCUUUUUAUUAGUCACAAUUGUACAGCCUCUCCCACAUGCACUGGUGAUAUAUUCAAUAAAAAGCAGAGUUUAUGUUUUUCAGACAAAGCAGGUAAUGGUGCUGAUCUAUCUAAAAAGCACAGGGUGGAAACUGAUAAAAGCUGUGAAAAUGAUUCUUUGGUUAAACUUCAAAUGAUACAUCAGCUGAAAGCUAAUGAGACUAAGCACCCUUCUUCCCCUCCAAUGCCAGUAAUUAACAAAGUCUUUAGUCUGGCCCCUUACAAAGCCUACUUAGAAGCUACAGGUGUAUUGUCGCCUGUACAAGACCCCAGUUGUCCAGUCAUGGCACCUGACUCAAAGCCACCAAAAGAUGAACCAGAAGCACAAAACACAGAUCCAAAAACAAAUUUAGACAAAGACAUCUUUAAGCCGAAAGUCAAAACUGAGAAAAUAGAGCCUGAUGAAAGGGCAUGUCAAUCAGAAAAAGAGAGCCACAGUCCUGUGAUUAGUCAGAGCAACAAUAAUGUAAAUGUUAAAGAGGAACAAGACAAUUUAGACUCAACAGAGGGUGACACCAAACACAACCUAGUUAUAAAGAGUGGCUUUUAUUCAGGUUCAAAGUCAGUCACAUCUGAAAUGCCAGAAAGCCCCCUUGAAUGCACUACUGCGUUUAGUGUGAUGGAUGGAGUUGCUAUGCCAACUCAAAACACUGACAAAAAACAAUCUGAUUUUCCAGCCCCUUUGUCUGCGAAACCCCCAGUUCCAAGUCAGACAAAUCAGGCUACGUUUUCCCUCAAUAAAAUCCCUCCUCAUUGCCUUAAACUGACUAGCUUUAAAAUAAUUUUGCCUGAAGGCUUCAAAACUUCCAUGUCUCCAGUCCCUGAGGUUCUUCAGUCUCCUGUUGAGAAUAAAGUAGCCAUAAGCAGUAGACAGGCCCGGUAUCAGUUCAUGGAGCUUCACCAGUCACUCUGCAGAGUUAUAUCAGGCUGCAUUUCUCAAACCUCACUUUGUGAGCUCAGGAACUGGUUAUCCAGGUUGGACCUGGAUGAGUCUGCUUCUCUUCAAGCUAAAACCCAAAAGGUCUCUUGCCUUCUGGGUCCCAAGGCUAGGGAGAUGUGGAUGAAAGAUGGAGAGGCGAUGAGAGCACUCCAGAAAGUUCUUUACCAGCUUGAGAACUAUGUCAGAAUUCAAGAGUGCCCCUUUCCUCAUGUCAUCAGAGCAGGGGCCGUGUUCAUCCCCAUGCUGGUGGUGAAGGAGGUGCUGUUUCCUCAGGUCCAGGGCACAUUUAUAGACCAGGUUCUACAAGAGCAUCGAGUUGAGUUGCGGCCAACCACACUGUCGGAGGAGAGACAGCUGACUCAGCUACAUAAGCGGGCUUUUUCUUCUAAACUAAGGAGGCUCAUGUCCCUCAAACACCUGCCAGAUAUCUAUCCAGAUGUCCUCAACCUCCACUACUAUGCUGAUGUCUGCAAAUUCCUUGAUUCUACUCCUACAGAUGAUGCACAAAAGGUAGAGCCACCUUCUGCGUAAUGUGAUCGGAUGCUGUGGUGAGCUGUAGGAAGUGAUGUGGUUUGGGAUCUCGGUCAAACCUGUUGCACACAUCCCCCAGCAAAGAAGCAUCUCAGGCAUCCGUUGAUAAAACAGUGCAGGAAGAGAAGUGAACUCCACUUUUAAAAAAGAAUGUGUGCAAUGCUCUGAAGUUGAAGUUGAAAGCUCAUUUAACGGGUUUGAGGUGCACUGCAUAUCACCAAGGCCAAACAUGCCUGAUAACGCCACAUGCCUGGAGAACCUGAAGCAAACUUCUUGCCAGAAAAGUCUUAGGAGCAAAGGGAGGGUAAAAGGUGCCUGCAAGAGAAGGUUUUUAGGAGACGACACUUCCUCUGAAGAGGAUGGGCCUGCUAAGGAAUCUGAAAGCUGGACUUUCACCAGUUGUUUGGAGGUAGAAAGAUGGGAAAACGUACCAGCUGCCUGCACCGAUGUAGAGGCUCACAUUGAGGUCAAGAUCGAGUCAGACGCUGAGCAAGAGCCUGAGAAUUCCUGGGGGCGCCCCUUGACCUCCGACGACCUCUCCUCAGAGAGCACUGACGUGGAUACAGAGAUGACCUCGUUAUCAUCGUAUGCAAGACACGUCCCCAGUAGCACUAAGAAGCGCUCGGACAUGGUUCUAAAGCUCAGGAAAGUCUAUUAUACCAAAGGCAGACGAGGCCAAGUGUCCCACUACAAGACAGUCCCGGACCAGUCUGAGGCUCAGAGACGGAGACACAGACACAGACGCUGUCACAGAAAAAAGAAACGUAGAAGCUCAGAGUCUAGUAUGCGACACAGAGUGAGGAAGUUUUCUUCAAGAUCACAGCACUGCCCUUAUCUCUCCACUCAGUGUACUUCAGAGCACAGGAGGAGAUGGGUACUGCGCUCGGCAGCACAGAACACCCGCCAGGCCAUGAGGAGCCGCUACCCAGAUCUAGUGGGCAAAAGGAUCCGCCAUCUGUAUGAAGAAAACGAUAAGACAGAGGCGUGGUACAAGGGUGUAGUGCUGCGUAUCCAUGAGUCCCAUCCCAACCCGCUAAAAACUGUAUUUGAGGUCAAGUAUGACAGCGAGCCGGAGUGGCAGUACUACCUGGAGCUGCUAGUGGACUACACGAAAGGGUGGCUUCAAAUUGAGGACUGAAGAAUUUUUGUAGUGUGUAGAAGUGUAAAUGGUUUUUAAACUGUGAACUUCUUUCAUUUCUUUGCAUCUUUUCAUUUUAAAAUGUGAAUAUUUUUAUCAUGCUUUUUAAUUCUGACAAUCACAUUUUAAAAUAGAUUAUAUUUAUAAAGAGUUGGGUCUGUUUAAAGUUUUAACAGCUGCUGUACCAGUUUUGGUCAGUUAUAUGUUUGAGAUAUCCCAAACCCAAAUGUUUCAAGUGAUCUACAUUCCAGGACUGUAAUCAAGUACCAAAGGACUUAUAUGUUUACUUUUUAAAAAAAAUUUUUUAUUGAAGCUGCUGUCUAAUGGUGUUUAAAUCAGCCAUAGCUAGUGAUGGUCUAAAGUGCCUUUCCAUGUUCUAUAAAACGUGCUGUUAAAUGGUAGAACUGUUUUUAGACCCAAUUCUGCAUUUCAAUAAAUGUUAGGGGAUUUUUUUUUCUCCUAAAUUAUGCUAUUAAAACUUCACUUUGGGGUUACUUUGCCAUGAAAUUGCUGCUGAGGAAAACGUGUUUUGAUUUGCCUUCUGUUUUCGUAUUAUUUUUUUUAAUUUUCUAGGUGUAGCAAAAAACUUGAACUAGAAAUACUUCAUCCUUUAGGUUUCUGCAUACAUGUUAAAUUCCUGCUUCUGUUUUUAAAAUAACCCCUUCACUCUAUUUGUUGAUGUAGUAAAUAUUAUUGUCACAGCUCCCUCUUAUGGUUAAAUUAAAAUCAGAAGUGUAGGCUCUUAUCCACUGUUAACAGAUUUCAUGGGUCAGGUUAAAGAAAACCAAAAUGCACUGUCUGAAAUUCAGCUUCAGCUUUACAAAGUAGAACAGUAAGCAAAAAGAACUGACAAAAUAAUAAAAAUUUUGCAACAUUUU